AUACGUAGGUGGCAAGCGUUGUCCGGAAUUACUGGGUGUAAAGGGAGCGCAGGCGGGAGAGCAAGUCAGUGGUGAAAUGCAUGGGCUUAACCCAUGAACUGCCAUUGAAACUGUUUUUCUUGAGUGGAUCAGAGGCAAGCGGAAUUCCGAGUGUAGCGGUGAAAUGCGUAGAUAUUCGGAGGAACACCAGUGGCGAAGGCGGCUUGCUGGGGUCUAACUGACGCUGAGGCUCGAAAGUGUGGGGAGCAAACAGGAUUAGAUACCCGGGUAGUCCACGCCGUAAACGAUGAUUACUAGGUGUGGGGGGUCUGACCCCUUCCGUGCCGCAGUUAACGCAAUAAGUAAUCCACCUGGGGAGUACGGCCGCAAGGCUGAAACUCAAAUGAAUUGACGGGG
rnacentral:rRNA from 1 species